AGAUGGCAGAAUUAUUUAUGGAAUGUGAAGAGGAGGAGCUAGAACCAUGGCAAAAGAGAGUGAAAGAAGUAGAAGAGGAUGAUGAUGAUGAUGAUGAGCCAAUUUUUGUUGGGGAAAUCUCAAGCUCGAAGCCAGCUAGUACAUAUAUAUUGAACAGAGUCAACCUCAGCUCAUCACGAAGGGGGAUACAGAAUGGUGCACCCAGUAGAGGUACAGUUACUACAUUCAAGCCUGACAGUCACCAUUAUGCGACACCUGCCUCCAGCCCCGGUGCCAUGCCUGUUUCAUCAGUGUUUCAGUCUGUAUCCAGACCUACAACUAGCUCUGUAGCAGUUCAGCCAUUGUCUAUACCAGUGAAUGUUUCAGGAACUUCACUAGCACUGCAGAGACCAGUUUCUGGAUGUUUAUCAACACAGCAGAUGCCUGGGUCAAGUUCUGGAAUAUCACAGCCUGUUAGCAGACCUGUAACCGUUCCAGUGACGACACAGCCAGUAUCAAGAAAUACCACGGUUCCUGUAGUGGCUCAACCUGUAUCCAGGCCAGUGACUACUGUAACAGCACAGCCUGUAAUACUCAAUCAGGAUUAUAUUAUGGAUUCUCCACCAGCUGCACCAGAUAAUACAUCUGGUAUACUGUUUGGUGUGAGACAGAACUCGGGAGUUCCACAGUACCAGACUGGGACAGCAGUGAAUGUAACAGGUCUGAAUGAGAGUGUUUUUGUAUCUAAGCGUCCUGCUACUUCUGAAGGCAACAGUGUAACUCCAAAAAAGGCCAAGCCUAAUGAGGUUGGUGCUGGAAGCAAUUCAGCUGUUUCACCUACAGUUAACUCUCCAACAGUAACACCAUCACAAAAUGUAUCUUCAAAAGGUACAAAUGCUGCAUCAAGCACCAUUAAAAAUGGAGGACCUUUUCCACGAGCUUGUCCGAAGUGCAAUAUUCAUUUCAAUCUCAUGGAUCCUCUAAAAAACCAUAUGAAGUAUUGUUGUCCAGAUAUGGUAAAUAACUUUUUCCUGGGAGUGGCCAAAUCAGAGUGUUCGAGCACAACAAGCAAGACUGCUGAAUCUGAGAAAGGAAAAUUGAUUAUGUUAGUUAAUGACUUUUAUUAUGGGAAACAUGAAGGUGACACCCAGCAGGUGCAACAGGAGCAGAAGACUCAUACGACAUUUAAGUGCUUCAGUUGUCUGAAGGUUCUUAAAAAUAACAUAAGGUUUAUGAACCACAUGAAACAUCACUUGGAGCUUGAGAAGCAGAGCAGUGAAAGUUGGGAAAGCCAUACCACCUGUCAGCACUGUUACCGUCAGUUUCCCACCCCAUUCCAGCUGCAGUGCCACAUUGAAAGUACACACACGCCUUAUGAGUCAUCUACGAUUUGUAAAAUCUGUGAAUUAUCCUUUGAAACAGAGCAAGUUCUUUUGCAACAUAUGAAGGACAAUCAUAAGCCAGGUGAAAUGCCGUAUGUUUGCCAGGUAUGCAACUACAGAUCCUCAGCUUUUUCAGAUGUAGAAACACAUUUUAGAACAGUUCAUGAAAAUACAAAACAUUUGCUAUGCCCAUUUUGCCUCAAAGUAAUAAAAAUUGGAGCACCGUAUAUGCAUCACUACAUGAGGCACCAGAAAAAAGGAAUAUACCGUUGCACUAAGUGCAGGCUGCAAUUUUUGACUUGCAAAGAAAAAAUGGAUCACAAGACUCAGCAUCACCGAACAUUUAGGAAACCCAAACAGUUAGAAGGAUUGCCUCCUGGAACAAAGGUGACUAUUCGAGCAUCUGUUGGAUCUCUUCAAUCAGGAUCAUCAGCUACAUCUUCUGUUAGUACAAGCACUUCCACAUUUCAGUUAUCACCUAAAGCUAAAAAUACAACCACUAAAAAUCAUAACAAAUCUAAUACAAGUAAGUCAAAAGCAAAAUCAAAACCAACUACAUCGAAGAGGCAAAAUGCAUGGACCAACAGCAAAAAAAAAAAAGAAGUUACAAAUACAGCUUUGCAUAAUCUAAGGUAUCGUUUGGGAGCUCACAAAUGCAUUGAGUGUUACUCGGAAAUAAAAGAUUUUGCAAGCCAUUUUCCUGCUUAUGUCCACUGUAGUUUAUGCAGAUACAACACUAGCUGUAGCAAAGCCUAUGUGAAUCACAUGAUGAGUUUUCACAGUGCUCGUCCAAGUAAAAGAUUUUGGAUCUAUAAGAAGCAUUCAGAAGAGCUACGAGGUGUGACUGUAGUAUGUCUUAACUGUGAUUUCUUGACUGACGUUUCUGGCUUAGAUAGCAUGGCCACACAUCUGAGUGAAAGCCACACUCAUACUUGUCAAGUUAUUAUAGAGAAAGUUUCUGUAGAUAUCCCAACUGCUGAACAAGUAUCUGAGACUUGAAAAAGACCAUGCAGUAUUGUGGAGAUUGUGUUGCAAGGUUUGCUUGGGGUUUUUUUAACCUUAGAAGAAUCAGACGUGCCAAGCCAUCCCCAAUUAUCCUGGAACAGUACCUGAGGCUUUACAAUGUAGCUUGUGAGCCUAUUUAUGCUUUAAUUGAAGGUUCAGAGGGGAGUUGAAAGUGAGCAGGUAUCCUAUACUGCCUUGGCUCACUGAUACAUCAUUGUGGACCAGAAAAUUGAACCCAGUCCAGCUUGGGAUUAUUUUGGUAUGUAAGCGAACAAGGAUCUGACCAGAGCUUUUCCUUUUUCUUCAUAUAUUGAAGCUGUGGUAUUCUCUUCUUGCAUCUUUUAGGCAGCAGGUCUGGUCUUUUCUACCAAUAUUGUAGUCUGGCAAAGGCCCUUCUGUGAUAAUGUUCUCUGCUUUGCAGCAUUGACUUCAAGCUUUUUGGGGGCUGUACUCCUUUGAAGAGAAGCUUACCAGGAGUUUCACUUAUGUGAUGCAGUGUUUCUUUGCUGCUCAUUUGCAGUGUUUCUUUGCUGCUCCAGUCUAUCGGUAUCAUCCCACACUAGAGUAGUGUAUAAAUGAUGACAUGUUAUGUGUUGACAUCAAAGCCCAUUUUGUUCUGAACUCAGUCCUAGCUUCUGAAACUAAAGGGCUUUGUCAUUCUCUUUGGGUGUUCACUAAAACAUACAAGUCCUGAUCUAUUUAAUAUUCAAGUAAGUUGCAUUUUUGUCUGCCAAUGACUUUACAGUAUAUAGUGGCAAAAUAUGCUUUGAAUGACUUCUGUCGCAUGUAACUGCAUAAACUGAAUCUUGGCCAGAGGAAUUUAUUAGCUGCUUUGCUCUGGUAGCUAAGCUUCUUUUUGCUCCUAAAUACUGUAGGAGGAAAGCAUGUGAUGGAAGCAGAUACAUUUAUUGAGCCCUGAUUCUGAGGGUGGAGCAGCCACAGUUCAUUCACACCUUGUUCUUUUGGUAUCAUCUCUCAUCUUCAAGGAUGCUCUACUCAAGCUGCUGAGACAUCUGCUGCUUUUGAUUUCACUGCUUCUGACUUCAUCUUUAGUUCUAGAUUAUCUAUGGCAAGUUUAUCCAUCAACAGGUUGUCUGGAUAUACGAUGAGCUUUCCUUUUGUCACGAUGAACAUCUAGUGUUCCUCCGAACUCAACCUCGUGCUUACAGUGGAUAUGUGUCUUGGUUGAAUCUCUAAUUUACUAGCUUCCAAGUAGCUUUAUAGAUAGAGCUAAUCUUACUCUGAGAUCAGUCACUGUUGUAACCUCCUUGUUAUAAGACAUUAUUUCUGAUGAAUGCAAGCUGUUCUUGAUUUGCAGCACUUUCUUUUUCUGCAUAAUCAAAUUAUCUGAGAUUAAUCCAUUUUUACGAGUAUUUUUGUCCUCUUCACUUUUAGUAUUCAAACAGUAACAGUUUUGGUGAUAGCAAGCUUCUGCAACCACUGUGGUAUUGCUAAUAAUAGCAAGGAUCCUGUCAUCCAUUGUCUCUUAUGCAUAUUUUGUGAUUGAGCAUCUGCACGCUUACUCAGUACUCUAAAGUCUUGUUCUUUUUGCUACUUUUUUUUUUCUUCUGACAGAGGCUAUGUUCCAUCUUGAAUGCUGCUGUUCAACUUCAAGCAUCAGUUAUCUACUACAGGUUUUUCUUGCAGGACUUAUUUCUGUUUUGACACAGCAGCAUUCAAAAAAGCAUAGUGGAUUUGUGUUUUCAUUGUGAACGUGCUGUUGCAUUUCAGAGGAAGUUGAAUCUGUGAUAUUUCACUUUCAUUCAGGUUUCCGGCAACAACAAAACUGGAAUAUGAUUGCAGAUUUUCGUGGCUUUCAGAAAUGUUCUCUAAGAAUUUCCCAGAAAUUACACUAGAUUGACACUUCAUUUUGAAGUUAUGUGAAUUAUACCUCUUUUGAAUGCUCAUUUGGAAUGUUGUAAUUUGGUUCUUUUACAACUUUGCUACAGAAAUUUUUUAAGUUUCAGACUUGUAGUUAAAACACUUGUAAGCUGCAUUCAGAUUUGCCAGCUUUGUAUAAAUAGUUCACAUAGAAACAAUUGGCAUUGUGGCAUCCUGUUUCCGUGUGUGUGAGGAUCUCAGAAAAGUUACUCAUGUGGAAAACUCAUAACAUAAAACCAGCCCUAAACCAUGCAAGUAAACCUGUCUGACUCAAUAUUAAUGUCCCUGGUGGUCCCAACAGCUACCGAGUUACAUCAAUAAUGCAACAUACUGGACCACAUCUGCAAGGACAGAGCACGAAUAAGCAUGGUAUAACCAGUUUAGCUUAUGGUCAAAGAACUAAUACUUAAUUUGUGUGUACCUUAACCUGUCUCUUUUUUUGUUAUUUUUAGGAUGUUGAGUGUCACUGCAUUAUGGGUUCUUAAGACACGUAGUUGUAGGGCAACCUUGCUUGAUUAGCAAAUUCUAUAUUACCUUUGCUUUGAAAGUCUUUCUGACAAGAAAGUAAAUGUUUCUGUUAUUCUGUUAAAUGUUUGUAACUGCAGCUUUGUGUGCAAUAACACUUCAUUACUCAUUAUAAUAGUCAUUAUGUAGCUGUCUUCAUUGCUAACCUCAUUUUACAGGUGAGAAAUUGGAGACAGUGUAAAGUAAUGUGAAUGUCACCAUCUUUCCUUUCCCAUUCAGUUGCUAACAGUGUAAAACACCACAGCAUAGAAGCAGCUAUUUCUUCAAACUGCAUUCACAUGUACCUUCCCAGUAAAUGCUUAUACAAUCAGAUAUUUGGGGGAGAAUUGUGCUUUAUGAAUCGUUGGUUCUACUUAGAGCUAUAUUUUUCAAAAUGGGGAAUUUCUGUUACAAACUGGAGUUCUUAAAAAAAAAAAAAAAAAAAAAAAAAACACCGAACCAAAAAACCUUUCCAUUCUUCUCGUUGUUAAAUAGAUUUAUAUUUAUAAUGCUGGGUAUGGUUCAGCUGAGUGGCUGGAAGGUACCUCGAGCCACUUAAAUAACAUAAAGUUGUUUUCCAGAAAUUAAUGAAGUUACAGUCAUCCUAGAAAAGGUUACUUUUGGUUAGGGGUGGACAAAAAGGGGUUGUUUGGCAAAGAUGCCAGCUCAGUUUCAGUACUGCUUACCCAAAGAAGCUGUGGGAGUAACUCUCUGGUUGUAAGAAAACAUGACAGAUCACUGGAAGACAGGUGCUCAUGAUUUCAGCUCAUGUGAGUGUGUGCAAAUAUACAUAAUUUAUUAUGUGAGAGCAGGGGAAGUCAUGAGACUGUAUGGAUUUCAGAAAUGAGAAUACUCCUAUCCGUGCUUGGACUGCACAUUUUAGAGUCUACUUGUUUCACUGACUCCAAAUCUCUUCCAUUAGUCCUAGGUGACUCCUCAUGUAUCAAAUAAAGUUUCACAUCAAACUGAAUUUAGACUCUAAGGUGUCUAAUGUUCUUUCUUACCUGGCUUUUAUUCUGAGUCCCUUUGGUUUUAUGGCCAAUACAUUAUAUUGAAUAUCUCAAUCAAGCUGAAAUUUUGUGCUCAGCUGCUACAUUUUGGGGGCGGUUUCUUUAAGGGAUUGACAAUUAAGGGACAUUUUUUCAUGGUUCUUAACUAGAAGUUUAUUUCUAUGUAGAAUAAAGAAUUUAUGGAGAGUUCUAGAAGGAUUUAAAAUUGCUCAAAAUUGCAGACCAGCAGGCUGUACUUACUGGAAAUGGUCAUGAUCUUUGUUUCAUUUUCAUAAUGUUCUUUCCAGAAGCACUGUAGCUCCACAGAAAGUACAUUGCCUUUGUUACUGCUUGAGAACUAUGGGAUUUAAGAUUUCUUGUAUCAUGAAAGUGUUGGGAACAUCACCAGGUGAUAAUCUUCUGUGGUUUAGUAUCCAUUUAUGAAACUUUUGCUAAUUACAAAUUAAAGGAACUACUUUCUAAAACCUAUUCCUAAACAGAAUUAAGGUUUGAGAAUAUAUGUCAGGAAUCCAAGGUAAACCUUAUUAACAAAGAUGUGGUUAUCACAAAAUCUUAUAAACCCUGUUUACUUCCAAACCAUCAUGAACUAGUCGGUUUGAAUCUGUUUUAUAAACUAUAAAGCAUGGAUACAGAAAUCUGUUAGAGUUUGAUGAUGUAAAUAAUGUUUAUAAUGUAUUUAAAACGAUCUACAGAUGUUGGAUCCAAUUCAUACCCAUUUAUUUUGGUGGCAAAACUUACAUUUAUUCAGACAAGAAUAACAGUAUUUUUUGUCCUUGGAUAUACAUUUUCUGAUUUACUUGUGUCUAAAUUGUUCUGCUCUUUCAAGAGUGACUGGUUUUAGACAAAUUACUAUUUCCAACAUACUGGCUUAAGUUCUUGCAUAGAAAUCAUUAAAGCAGUGAAGCUAAGCUAAAUAUUUGGUGUCGCAUCAUCUUCUACUGGUGUUGCUACUCAUGAUUAAAUACUUCAGAGUAUUUCAAGUCCCUGACCCAAAAAAUGUGUUGUCAUUUGAUUUACCCUGAUCAUUAUUCUUACUGUUAAUUAGAUGAGCAUUGUUACAGUGCUAUCAUAGCAAUGUUAUUU